rnacentral:rRNA from 1 species
UGGUGGAGCGAUCUGUCUGGUUAAUUCCGUUAACGAACGAGACCUCAACCUGCUAAAUAGAUACGCCGACCGUCUGAUAUGCGGAGAAGCGUUGGCUGUUCAUUGGCCUAGCGGCUGGUGACGUCCGGCGUGGAUGCGUUGAUGUGUUGGCGGAUAUAUCUUCUUAGAGGGACUAUUCGUAUCCAGCGAAUGGAAGUUUGAGGCAAUAACA